rnacentral:lncRNA from 1 species
AUCAAAAUGUAACCACAUGAAUAAUUCCAUCAAAAUUCACAAAGGCUCAACAAAAAAAGUAUCAAAUUCACCCAUAAUACCUCAUACAUUUAGAGCAUUCAAAUAAAAGGCAUAAAGAUGAUGGAUAUAGGCAAACCUGAUUGGAAAGCUUGAUUGAAAUUGAGUUGCACCCGUGAGGUUUACAAGUUGAGUUCCCUUCAGGGUUUGGAGG